rnacentral:rRNA from 1 species
CACGUAGGAGACAAGCGUUAUCCGGAUUUACUGGGUGUAAAGCGCGUGCAGGCGGUAGGAUAAGUUGGAUGUGAAAGCUCCUGGCUUAACUGGGAGAGGUCGUUCAAGACUGUCUUACUAGAGUGCAGCAGAGGGGAGUGGAAUUCCGAGUGUAGCGGUAAAAUGCAUAGAUAUUCGGAAGAACACCAGUGGCGAAGGCGGCUCUCUGGGCUGCAACUGACGCUCAGACGCGAAAGCUAGGGUAGCGAACGGGAUUAGAAACCCGUGUAGU